UCCAUGCUGAAAAAGGAAGAAAGAAAACACAACGUUUUUUCUUCCUUUCCAGCAUGGAAUAAACCUAUUGUUCCUGUAAAAUGAAUCUCCAGGAUUCAGAAUCUUUAUAACGACUUGAACAUUAACGCGGCAACAUAACAGCUUCCCCCCAUCCCUCUGGCAGCGCAGCUGAGCCUGGGCAUCUGCCCCAGAUGCAGCGCCAGCAAGUGGGCAGCGCAGGGCCUCCUCUCUAAUCUGACCUUCACAGUGAAGAACGGAGCAUGCAGACCCAUGAGUGCCUCCCGUGAAGGGCAGGGAAGCAGAUCCAGUGGAAAAUGCUGCUAAUACCUGGACUUCGUGUUGAACCUCUGGGCUCCCCUUACCCCUGAGUCAUCAACCCCAUUCGCUGUCUUCAGCCAAUGGACAGCUGUCUGCGGGAUUUCAGAGGUGAAGCAUAUGCAGUCUCCACAGCUGGGAGACUCAGGGAUAAACACUGCGGCUUGUCUUUGAGAGAACAGGCGCCUCUCCAG